UGGGGAAUAUUGCACAAUGGGCGAAAGCCUGAUGCAGCAACGCCGCGUGAGUGAUGAAGGCCUUCGGGUUGUAAAGCUCUGUCUUUUGGGACGAUAAUGACGGUACCAAAGGAGGAAGCCACGGCUAACUACGUGCCAGCAGCCGCGGUAAUACGUAGGUGGCAAGCGUUGUCCGGAUUUACUGGGCGUAAAGGAUGCGUAGGCGGAUUUUUAAGUGAGAUGUGAAAUACCCGGGCUUAACUUGGGUGCUGCAUUUCAAACUGGGAGUCUAGAGUGCGGGAGAGGAGAAUGGAAUUCCUAGUGUAGCGGUGAAAUGCGUAGAGAUUAGGAAGAACACCAGUGGCGAAGGCGAUUCUCUGGACCGUAACUGACGCUGAGGCAUGAAAGCGUGGGUAGCAAACAGGAUUAGAUACCCUGGUAGUCCACGCCGUAAACGAUGAGUACUAGGUGUAGGAGGUAUCGACCCCUUCUGUGCCGCAGUUAACACAAUAAGUACUCCGCCUGGGAAGUACGAUCGCAAGAUUAAAACUCAAAUGAA
rnacentral:rRNA from 1 species